GUUAUUGUUUACUCGGAAUGAAUGCAUCAAACGGGAAAAGGUGUAGAAAAUCGAAAAAUAAAAAAAAGUUAGAAACCGUAUAUACACCAAUGAUAACAAAUAGUAGAGUAAGAUGCAUCGAUAGCCGCCGCCAUGUUAUUUCAGUCACGCGACGCGUUUCGUGUUAUCAUGUGAUCAACAUGAUGACUCAUCGCUCCCCAGGCUUAUUCAAAUUAGACGAAGUCGACUAGUGUUACUUCGAACAUUGUCAAGUAGUGAGUGCGUUUUUAUUUAUUUCAUUUUCCAAUAUUAACUGAUUUUAAUAGUUU
rnacentral:lncRNA from 1 species